GAUAAACGCUGGCGGCAGGCUUAACACAUGCAAGUCGAACGCACCGCAAGGUGAGUGGCAGACGGGUGAGUAACACGUGGGGAUCUGCCCAAUGGUACGGAAUAGCUCCGGGAAACUUGUGCUAAUACCGUAUGUGGCCUUCGGGGGAAAGAUUUAUCGCCAUUGGAGCAGCCAGCGUUGGAUUAGGUAGUUGGUGAGGUAAAGGCUCACCAAGCCUACGAUCCAUAGCUGGUCUGAGAGGAUGACCAGCCACACUGGGACUGAGACACGGCCCAGACUCCUACGGGAGGCAGCAGUAGGGAAUCUUAGACAAUGGGAGCAAGCCUGAUCUAGCCAUGCCGCGUGAGCGAUGAAGGCCUUAGGGUUGUAAAGCUCUUUCAGCUGGGAAGAUAAUGACUGUACCAGCAGAAGAAGCCCCGGCUAACUCCGUGCCAGCAGCCGCAGUAAAAC
rnacentral:rRNA from 1 species